GUCCACGCUGUAAACGAUGAGUGCUAGAUGUUGGUGAAGGAAUUCAUCAGUGUCGCAGCUAACGCAUUAAGCACUCCGCCUGGGGAGUACGGUCGCAAGAUUAAAACUCAAAGGAAUUGACGGGGGCCCGCACAAGCGGUGGAGUAUGUGGUUUAAUUCGAAGCAACGCGAAAAACCUUACCAGCUCUUGACAUGGGGAUUUUGGAAAUCAGAGAUGAUUUUCUUCGGUUCGCCGGGUCCCACACAGGUGCUGCAUGGCUGUCGU
rnacentral:rRNA from 1 species